AGUGAACGCUGGCGGUAGGCCUAACACAUGCAAGUCGAACGGCAGCACAGUAAGAGCUUGCUCUUACGGGUGGCGAGUGGCGGACGGGUGAGGAAUACAUCGGAAUCUACUUUUUCGUGGGGGAUAACGUAGGGAAACUUACGCUACUACCGCAUACGACCUACGGGUUAAAGCAGGGGAUCUUCGGACCUUGCGCGACUGAAUGAGCCGAUGUCGGAUUAGCUAGUUGGCAGGGUAAAGGCCCACCAAGGCGACGAUCCGUAGCUGGUCUGAGAGGAUGAUCAGCCACACUGGAACUGAGACACGGUCCAGACUCCUACGGGAGGCAGCAGUGGGGAAUAUUGGACAAUGGGCGCAAGCCUGAUCCAGCAAUACCGCGUGGGUGAAGAAGGCCUUCGGGUUGUAAAGCCCUUUUGUUGGGAAAGAAAAGCAGCAGGUUAAUACCCCGCUGUUCUGACGGUACCCAAAGAAUAAGCACCGGCUAACUUCGUG
rnacentral:rRNA from 1 species